AUUGAACGCUGGCGGCAGGCCUAACACAUGCAAGUCGAGCGGAUGAAGGGAGCUUGCUCCUGGAUUCAGCGGCGGACGGGUGAGUAAUGCCUAGGAAUCUGCCUGGUAGUGGGGGAUAACGUCCGGAAACGGGCGCUAAUACCGCAUACGUCCUGAGGGAGAAAGUGGGGGAUCUUCGGACCUCACGCUAUCAGAUGAGCCUAGGUCGGAUUAGCUAGUUGGUGGGGUAAAGGCCUACCAAGGCGACGAUCCGUAACUGGUCUGAGAGGAUGAUCAGUCACACUGGAACUGAGACACGGUCCAGACUCCUACGGGAGGCAGCAGUGGGGAAUAUUGGACAAUGGGCGAAAGCCUGAUCCAGCCAUGCCGCGUGUGUGAAGAAGGUCUUCGGAUGGUAAAGCACUUUAAGUUGGGAGGAAGGGCAGUAAGUUAAUACCUUGCUGUUUUGACGUUACCAACAGAAUAAGCACCGGCUAACUUCGU
rnacentral:rRNA from 1 species